GCUGGGCAUGGCGGUGCACGCCUGUAGUCUCAGCUACUUGGGAGGCUGAAGCGGGAGGAUCACUUGAGUCUAGGAGUUCCAGGCUGUAGUGCACAAUAUCUGGCUUGCGAAUAGUCACUACUCUCCAGCCUGGGCAACAGAGUGAGACCCCAUCUUUA
rfam:Homo sapiens chromosome 11, GRCh38 reference primary assembly.